rnacentral:misc_RNA from 1 species
AAGGGGACAAGCGCGAGUGCGCGUGGCCAGCCGCUUCCCUUUCCUACUCUUUCUCUCCCCACCCUCCCCACCCCGCACAGUGCGCCUCAACAAGACAGGCACGCAUAUGCGCACACAACAGCAAUCACGUUGGUUCACAAGACUGUUUCUCUUUCACUGUAUUAGCGCAGGGCUCUUUGUCAGGUUUUCAGCUCUUUUGAUGCCUUCUCUUCCCCGACCCGACCUGCCCUUCACCUCUUCCGAAUUCUUCGCCUCCUCCACAGUCCUUCGCAGUUCUGCCUUAUCCAUCUUCUCUCUCACAUCUCACCGUCAGCUAUCGCGCUUGAUUCGCUCGAGUUUUUGUGUGUGCGUGUGCGCGUGUGUGUGUGUGUUUGGGUGACGCCGGCCCGCCCGCCCCCCCCCCCUUUCUUUUGUGCUUGUGUGUGUCUUUCGUCUCCCCCACCCCCCCCCCUCUCUACAGACACACACACACACACAUCGCUUCGUUAUCAUUCCCAUCGGAGGCUCAUUUUGGUCUGUUGUUCCCCACCCUUCUUUUCCGCCGCCGCCGCCGCCGGCCUCCCCGCUCCCUCUCCCGUCUCUGUCGUGCUUUGACGGACGCACAGGAGUACGCAUAGGCAGACAACCAUCACAACGCCGCUUCUGUCCAAACCACCCUACCCCACACCCUCACACUCCCCCACCGCUCUCCCUCGCUCCUCUCACGCUUUCUUGCCCACUGUAGUUGUAUAGCUGCUCAUAAUCCGUUCCUCCCUCACUUCCUUUGUGCCGUGGUGGUUCCAAGGGCUUUUGUGUUGUGGGUGCUGCUAUGUUGUAUUGCACUGGGACGUUUCUGCCAGUCCUUCUGCACGUCUUCCCGACCACCUCGCGCGCUGGCGUCUAGUUACUUUGUUUGGCGUGCCUGUCGCUUGCCGUGUCGUGCUCUGUGUAACGGUGCCUCUGUGGCCGAGACGACAGGGAGGGAGGGGCGAAACAAGAAUCAAAUGCCGAACAGGCCGCUGGAGACGCAACUGAAAUCGUCGGCCCUCUAACUUCUUCGCCUCAGACAUGCGGGUCUUGUACGGCACCCCGUUGCCGCCUGGCCUUGUCGCUCCCACGAGAGGCGAGCUGCGUCUUCGCAUAGAUCAGCUCAUUCUGGACGAUGAAGUCAUCAACCACAGCCCCUUAGUGCAACUCUUUGAGGCCCCCGACUCUGCUAGUGCCGUCGCUGCAACGGACGUAGGCGGGGCAGAGACCGCCACCGCAUCUUUUUCGCGCAGCCCAAACCACUUUGUGGUGCCAGUCGACUACUGCUCUGUGGGCCCCAUCUUUUGGGGCGAAACUCGUCCCUCCGCACAAGGGCAGCCAGCCACGCCACAACUUCGGCGCGGCCCGGUCACGAUGGUGUACCCGAUCAAGAUGGCGGCAACACAGUUCGGGGCCUAUCUCGAGCGCAUGACAGAGUCGCCGCAGCAGGGAGUACAGCUCGAUGUGUUUGUGCCGUCGAGCUACAGCGGUCGGCCUCCUGUCACGGUGGGUAGGUGCAGGAUUACCCUUGACACACUCCAGCCGGGCCACCCCGUGAAGGGGUGGUUUCCAGUAAUGCACCGGCGAGCCCGCCUCUCCGCCGCAGAAGCGGACCUGAGCAAGUAUGUGGAACUAGCCGUCGGCAAGGUUAAGCUCACAGUCACCGUGGAGUACUACCCAAGCUCGCGACAGCCAUCAGCUGAGCCGACUGCGGCCACCAAGCAUAAGCGCCACGAGGGCAAAGAUGGCGGUCACGUACCACUUCCGCGAGCCAAGACGCGCCGCUCUCACCGGCAUCCAGGGCGCACAGGGGAGGAUGCAGCGCACCCACCUACGGAGACUUCCUCGACGUCCACAGAGACUGCCGCAGCCGAAUCGCCUGUCUCCUCCUUACUCAGCCCAGCCGCCAGAGAAACGGCGCGUCGGCGCGGGCGUCAUAGUGGGCAUGUAGGCCACCACGGCACGGCCCUGCUGCGGGAUAAGUCAGCCGUCACGCACCAGCUGCUUCAACAAGGACUGCGGUUGCGAGCGCAGAUGGAGGCAGCAGCUCGCGGUCUGAGCCUCGACAACUUCGAUUCUUCAACCGACAUGACGGCCAAUAGGCACCGAGGAGUCGGCCACGGCCAUGUGAGUUUCGAAGAUGUAGGAACCGGUGUGCUUGCCGACGACGCCGAUGAGGAUAUCAGCGAUGGAAGCGGCGUCGUCUACACGUCAGCGGACAGUGACGAGGAGAAGUUUGCCUUGCAGAUGCAAAAGGAUGCCGAAGCCCGCGAUCGGCGGGGCAUUCAGCAGCAGCAGCAGUCAACAGUACCAAGCAGUUCUCCUGCCGCACCGGCUGCAGUGGGGCAGCAUCUCGUCCGCAGUUCAGCUGUUGGAGCGGCGUCUGAGACCGCCGUGGAGGUGUUGCCCAUCGCGAACGACUGUAGUGUCCACGGCACACGAGCUGCAGUGGAGCUGUGCUUCUCCAACUUCUCCUUUGCCCAGACCUCCCUUACGGCGGACUUGCACAAGAUUCGCAUCAACGUCCGCCUGAGUAGCGAUAUCACAACGUUGGAGCCUUCAUCCGGCCCUCUCUCGUCCUUUGUGCACCCGGUGCCGGUGCAGCAGCCAUUCAUUUGCCUGCUUUUCGACGUGUGCAGUUUUUUCGAAGACCACAGUAAACUCGUCGUCGAGGCCUACAAGGUGAUGAGCGAGCUGGAACUGGAUAACGAGAACGAUGGUUGGGACGUCCAGGGACCGCGUCACGUGGCAAAAGAGGAGCUGCUAGGGCUCUCGGUGAUUGGGCUUUACCGCCAAUCGCGUGCUGUCGUCUUUCGCGACCCUGUUGCCGACACAUCCAACGUCUUCGCACAGCUUGAUGUACGUGUGCGGCCCCACGGUGUGAACCACAGCACCGCCACCAGCACCGUGCUGGAUGCUCCUGCUCAACAGCAACAGCAUCAACACCAAGCAUCGUGGAAUGUAGUCCGAGGUACGAUAAACAGCUCCCUCCGCACGCCGGCGAGCGACGCUGUCCCGCCCAGCAGUAUCGCUGCAUGCGCCUCAGACACGCGGCCGGCAAAGGAGAACGCUGUCAGCGUGUCGAAGCACAAGUCUUCUACUGAGCGUGGACACGUGCAGGACGCGUCAGCGGGAGAGGAAGCAUGCUCAAUCGCCGGCAUUUACCCCCCGCACGUCUCGCAUUCUCCAGUGGGCAACUCGUCAUCCAGCACCACGAGAGAGCGCAGGCGCCUGCGCGUCGUAGUGUACAGUGCUGCGGAGCUGCCGCGUGUGGCGGUGGCGCAAGGUCGUGGCCACGGCGCUGUUACCGGUAGCGGGGUUGGCCACUUCCCCAUCAUCUCCGCGCGGCCACGGUCCAUACCGGAGGCAGGCGUGGAGGGUGUGACAAGCUACGCCGAGCCGAACUCCUUCGUCACCAUCGAGGAGGUGUACCGCGUCGCAGAGACGUGGUGUACGAAAUCAAAGACGGCAGCGCCCACCUCACGUGGCGCCAGUGCACCAUCGUCAAGCAGACAGUCGAUUCACAACUGGUAUGUUGACGAGGCGCGCGGCGGCUUUUACGACCGCAGCGCUGUCGCGAAGGAGAGCAGCAACCCGAGCUACAACUACGAAGUGACUCUGCAACUACCGGAAAUGACUGUGCCCACGGGUAACGGCACCGCAGCGGCCGCAGUGACCCACGGUCUCGCCGAUGUGCUGGACGAGCUACAGCUGGCCGUGUGGCACUCCGACCUCUCCCGCCAAACCUUCUCGGCGAGUGGAACUAUCGUCACGAACGGUGGUGCCGGCAGUGGGCAUAGCAGGUCGCGCGGGACAGGCGUCCGUCAACAAGAGGAGCACUUCUGGGAGUGCGCGGCAUACAUGGGCACGUGCCGGGUGGACCUCCGUCCGCUGCGCUACCUAAAGACGCUCGAUGGCUACUACCGUGUCGUGUGUGAGCGGACACCUGGAAGCGCGGUAGGGCCGACGUCGACGGAUGUGGAGUCAAACACGAUUGGCUAUGUCCGCCUGAGUGUAUCGCUGCAGUGAAGAAGAAACGGAGCGCCGGGCAAGUACUUGGGAGCGAAAACGAAGGGCGAAGGGUACGUGCCGAGGCUGCGACUUGUGCUCUCUGCUCUCCCCUCUUACAUUCAUCUCGGCGGCACGGUAGAGGGUGGGAGGGAGGAAGGGCAUACCAGGGAUGAGCUGUGAAGCGUUGCUCCCGCUAAAGUCAUGCUUGGCCGCCGCCUCCUUCGUUUGGGGAGGUGUAAUCAGCAUUUAUUUUAGUUUCUUUCUACUGAGGAUGGAGGCCUUUUGUGAAAUGGAAACCCGGUUCUUUCUGUCUGCUGUGGUCGCCUUGGCUCUUCUGGAACGGGAGGUGCACACGCCGCACGGCGGUGUCGUCACAACGCCUCCGCAGCUCUCCCCUACCCGCUGGUGCACAGAUGGUGCAACACAGAUGCACAGCAGGUCACGUGCCGCCGCGAUGCGCUAUCGCGAUCAUGCACGCACAGAUGCGCACGGGCAAGGGGCGGCGGCGCCCUUGCGUGCCGCGACAGCACCCAGCCUGCAGCAGUGGUGUCCACGCCUCACCUGCGGCGAGAAAGAGAAGCACGUGUGUGGUCGCCCUUGCUGCGGGGUCGCUCUCCCACCCUCACGGCACCUGGCACGGGUCCCGCAACCGUGGAGGACGGCACAGUGCGACGGACGUGAGCACGUGCGCUGGCGCUGCGGUGGCCCGUCUCGUGCGCCUCGCAUUUCAGCGUGUCGGUGGCCACUCUGACUUGGUGCACACCGACGGGGAGGUCGAGACCGCAUAAACAGCCACGCCAGAGAGGCGCCGACGCCAGCUGCACGGAUGGCGGUCCCGGUCACCCGUCUCCCACGCCACGCCGGCAUCCCCCGAAACCGCGCCAGACGAUGCGGCGCGCUGACACAAGAGGCUCUUCGCGGCAGCCGUCCCACACCACAACAGCACGGCUGCUGAGCUUGCAAGACGACAGGGGAGACCCCGCUCGGCCAGAGCCUCCGCACCCGCCCAGCGAAGCACACCCCGUCGCACGCAACGACCUUGCAGGCAGUCACCUCGGCACGCACGUCUCGCACGCGCUGCACGAGCUGCCCCCGUCGGGAGCCUGGCGCUGCCCACACCACACCCUCUGUGCCCCCACAGAACGGCAGGCUGUGAGCUCCCCGUGCGCGCAUGCGACACGCGUGUCGGCGGGACCCCUCCGCCCCACACGCACAGCAGCGGCCGGCCCGUCGCGGCAACACGCGGGCAAGCCGUCCAGGCACGCAGCCCCCACUCCACAACAGCGCGAGCGCCGCCAUGCACAGCUGGCAUGCCACAUCGCAUCCGCGCAUCGCAUGCAGAGGGGCGAGGCGCAACAGUGACCGACGGGCGAGGCGCGAAGAGAGCCCACAGUGCAUGUGCGCAAAACAUGCCGUAUCCGCUCCAGCCGACCAAAUGGGGGCUCGUGAGGCGCAGAUGCCGGAAGCAUCACCAGAGCAGCCUGCACUACAUCAUCCAGUCACGCGGAGUUCACUGUGGGGGGUGGGUGGCGAGGCGCCACGCCGUACGUGACGGGAUGCAGCGGCCUUCAGGAGACCGAGGGAGAAGCACGGCAUGCAGGCAGACGCUGCGAGGUCUCACAGGGCCCGGUGGGUGUGGCGCCGAUGCGGCGGCAGGACGGCUCGUCCUCGACGACGUGGACGUAGCUGGAGUGCCACAUAGAUGAGCUGUAGUGUAUUAUUAUUAUAUUUUUUUUGUAGCUUGUUGCCUGGCAGCGUGACACAUGGAGAAGCAAAAGAAAAAAAGGGCUCAUGGCUGUAGGUAGCCUGGUUUCGAUGAGUGGCACCGGAAGAAAUCUGCGAAUGAAUUACGGUGGAUUUCUUGCCGGUGUGCCGGCACGCUUUCGACCUGCGUCGUCCCUGCUUGCGCUUUUGUUUUCUUGUCGUGUGCUUUGUUCCCGCGUCGUGGCCAUCUUUGUACCCGUCUGCCUUUCCGCCUCCGGUGUGGGUCCGCAGAAGCGUGUGUGCCCCGUGCGUGUCUCGUGCUGUCGGUGUUGUUCGAUGAUCGCGCUGUUAGGCCGAGCUCUCUCUUCGAUGGUGCUGGUUUUCCUCGCUCGCUCCGUGGGCGCCUUUGCCCACCACCAUCUCUGAUGGUCGAGCAGGGGCUGUACGUGUGCCACACCGCCCACCCUUCCCACGUUCUCUCUUCUCACGCUGCAAUCCAUACUCCUCUAG